rnacentral:rRNA from 2 species
UUGGAGGGCAAGUCUGGUGCCAGCAGCCGCGGUAAUUCCAGCUCCAAUAGCGUAUAUUAAAGUUGUUGCAGUUAAAAAGCUCGUAGUUGAAUUUCGGGGUUAGUAGGUUGGUCAUGCCUCUGGUAUGUACUGGUCUCACUGAUUCCUCCUUCCUGAUGAACCGUAAUGCCAUUAAUUUGGUGUUGCGGGGAAUUUGGACUGUUACUUUGAAAGAAUUAGAGUGUUUAAAGCAAGCUAACGCUUGAAUACAUUAGCAUGGAAUAAUGAAAUAGGACGUUCGAUCCUAUUUUGUUGGUUUCUAGGAUUGACGUAAUGAUUAAUAGGGAUAGUUGGGGGCAUUAGUAUUCAAUUGUCAGAGGUGAAAUUCUUGGAUUUAUUGAAGACUAACUACUGCGAAAGCAUUUGCCAAGGGUGUUUUCAUUAAUCAAGAACGAAAGUUAGGGGAUCGAAGACGAUCAGAUACCGUCGUAGUCUUAACCAUAAACUAUGCCGACUAGGGAUCGGAUGAUGUUAAUUUUUUAAUGACUCAUUCGGCGCCUUACGGGAAAC